rnacentral:rRNA from 1 species
UACGUAGGGUGCGAGCGUUGUCCGGAAUUAUUGGGCGUAAAGAGCUCGUAGGCGGUGUGUCACGUCGGCCGUGAAAACCUGCAGCUUAACUGUGGGCGUGCGGUCGAUACGGGCAUCACUGGAGUUCGGCAGGGGAGACUGGAAUUCCUGGUGUAGCGGUGAAAUGCGCAGAUAUCAGGAGGAACACCGGUGGCGAAGGCGGGUCUCUGGGCCGAUACUGACGCUGAGGCGCGAAAGCGUGGGGAGCGAACGGG